UCUCUCAAAGUUAGCCUUAAAAUCCUAGAAAAUCAAAAACAGAGUAACUGAACUCGAUGCUAUUAUUCCAGGCUACAGAAGCUGGAAAUCACAACUGAUUACUGCCAUCGUCUACCUUCUGGAAAGAAGUGGAAUCAUUUGGGAUUUUCUCUAUAUUCUGCCAAAACAAAAGAUAAGUCGGUGAGAAAGUCACAAAGUUUGCCAGAUUUUGAUCAGGAAAUAUGACAAGGGGAAGAGGCAUUAAACGUAGUAGGGAAGGUCGUGGGGACAUGUCUAAUAAAGGAGGAGGAGACAACCAACAACUACCAAACACUUCUCAGGAGGAUGUUAGUGAACCAUCAACUCUUAUGUCUCGACAGAUUGUACAUACAUCUCAAGAUGGUAGUGCUCGGCCAACAUUUCCUGCUCCUCGAAGUAUUAGCGGUCAGCAAGAAAUUCCUACUUCUCUAGAUGUUGGUCGUCAACAAGCUCCUUCUUCUCAGAAUGUUGGUGCUGAGCAAGCAACUCAUGAACAAACACGAUCUUUUGGAAGUAGUAACCCACAGGAAAGACGAGCUACUCUUGGUGGCAUAAAAUCCUUGAAAGUAAACGAAGAUACAAGGAACUAACUGGGGAAGAUCUUCGAAGUGAUGAAUUGUAUAUGAAGACUCACAAAACAAAAAACAAAAAGAAGUGGAUAUGUAGGAAGUCAGAAAGGAUAUGGAAUUUAGUUACAAAGAAUAUUAAGGAGAAGGUUGGUGGAACUUCAACACUAAGGAAUGAAGGAGGUCUUGAGGUAGAUGAUGGAGACCUGGAGAGAAAUAAGACAACAGAUGGAGAAGGGGAAGGAGAAGAAACUAGCGAAGAAAAUGAUGUGAAUUUGUUGAAAACUAUACCAGAGGAGCAACUAUAGAAAACUUGGAUAGAAACAGUUGGAGGAACAAAAAAAGGAAGAAUAUAUGGUCUUGGCCUAAAAAUUCUUUGCUAGCAGAUUCAUCGAAUGCUAACUGUGCUUCCGCUAGUGCUCCUAAUCCUCCAAAUAUGCCUACCGAACAAAUUUUUUAAACACCCGAGUUUCAACAGCUUCUUAAUCGUGUACUGGAGCAACGUAUGGCGAAUGUGCGGGAACAUAUGCAAGCGGAUAUUCGGGAAAAUAUGGAAGCCGAAGUACAUGUCGUGGUUCGUGCUGUUGUGGCUCGGAUUCUUUUUUUCACUCCUCAACCACCACCAAAUGGCUCUGGUUCUCCCCCAAACAAAUCUUAGAUGAUUUAUGUUAUUGAUUUUUUUUAUUUAAGACAUGUUUUGUUUUACUAGCUGACAUGUUUUAUUUUACUAGCUGACUUGUUCUUCA